GGCAAAUGCGGGUAAGUUUCCUGGCUCAAAUCUAGGAUUUGCCGUUAACCACAAUUACUUUCCUCUGGAGCCCGCGUGCUGCAACCACGGAAACCCGGGCACCUGGGGCUUGCGGUCUGCAGGAAAAGCCGCCUCACUGAGAAACCUGUGCACGCAACUGAAGAGUGGCCCCUGCUCCCUGCAACUAGAGAAAGCCCGUGUACAGCAACAAAGACACACAGCACAGCCAGAAAAAUAAAUGAAUACAAUGUUUUCAAAGCUUCAAAUUUUAUGUAAGGUACUUUUAUUCAUCUCCUACUCACUGUAUGAGGAUGGCCGUUAGAACAUACUUACUUUGCCUGCAGAUAAGCAGAAAAACGAUGAAAUCUGACAAUAUUCUUUUUCCCACAUGAUUUCCAAAACCAAGAGGGCAUUGGAAGCCAUGGGAUUUCAGGACGUCUAACCUCAGCAAAUAAGGGCGAGGUGACCUGAGUCUGAAUCCCCCCACUGGAAGCCCAGGCUCCGGGCGCUCCCUGGACAGAGGAGGCGGCAUCUCCGCUGCCCGAGGGCCCAGCGAAGGCUCUCACGGCGCUGACACAAGGGAAGCACCAGGUCUGCGUGCCCUUCAAGGUCCACGUACCACGCCAAGCCCCUCUGUGACCCAGGGGCGGUGACGAGACAGCUGGGACCGUAAACAUUGACGGAAGAUCGUCCCUGUUGCCUCAUUUUCUGAAAAUUGUACCUUUAAGAAACACUUUUAGAAAUGACGCAGGGAAGGACAUGAUUUCCUGAAAAUGCUGCAGUGUAACUCAGAUUGAAGAUGUGAGAGACACAUCCAACCACAGGGAAGAGAGAAAUAAUAAGGAAAUAAAUACAAACACUCAGGCAGGCAAGUGUGCACACAGGACGUCGUUCAGGGCCGGGCAGACGCUGGGGCUGUGCUCUGCCUGGGGGUCGUUGUCCCCGAUGCCCCGCAGACCAGAGUCCACCUGUGCUCGGGCCUUGAUCAGGUGCCCGGAGAGCUGUCCUCGCCCUCCCCCGGCUGCCGCUGCCGCUCCAGCCCCGCCAGCUCCUCGCUGGACGGCUCUGCGCCCCUGGCCCUCGCCCGCGGGGCACGGAAGACCCUCCGCAGAGAGCAGGCCUUGAACGUGGCGAGCAAGCCGUGGGUGGGUGGCUGGCUGGCUGAAGGCUGGGGCAUCCGUGGGCAGGUCCUCCACUCGCACGUGGUCGGAGAGGUCGUCCAGGUUGCCAGGGCGGCGGGGAGCGCGGUCCAGAACGAGCAGCGCUUUGAACGGGGGCGCGUGCGUGGCGCAGUACCUCUCCACCGGGGCAGGACAAGUCCCCGAGCCGCUCCUGGAAGAAGCUCCUGGUGACCCGGGCCCCCUGUGCGAGCGCCACAGCGCGGGCAUGUUGGGCUUGGAGAAGCCCCCUGAGCGCACCCGGGUUCUCCGCGAGAAACACCAGCAGCGGCAGGGUCAGGAGAUCGCGGGCGCCUGUGAGCCCAGGGUCCGGCGUCUCCGCCGCGGAAGGGCCCGUCCUGCUGGGCAGCCGCCUCCAGAACAACCGGGUCUCCUCCCCCACGGAACACCUGCCGGGCCGCGUCGCCGCCGUCCGGGAUCAGUC
ensembl:lncRNA